rnacentral:lncRNA from 1 species
GCAGAGGCCAGCGGCGUGCAGCGCUCCGGCCGCGCCCCGCCUCCCACCGCCUCUCCUCCGCGUGCCAGGGACCCGGCAUUCAACCCCCGCAGGAGGGCCCGGCUCCUCAGGCUGCGGUCACGGCUUACACCGGCUCCCGGAUGCUCAGUUUCCCCGAACGCAUGUCAGACGAGCACGCAAAACCCGGUGCAAAGAGCUAGAACUGCGUCACAGAAGUGGCUGCCUGCAGUGUGACGCGGGGUCGGGUUCGGGCUGAAGUUCGGGUUCGAGGUCAUCACAGAGCAGCAGCGGCCUGGCGAGUUUUAGUAAAUAGUCACAGGGCGUAGCUCAGAAACGAGGAGUGGCCCGAGCCCCCGUGGCCGCAGGACUGUUUGCGAGACUCGGCCUGUGUUCAGCUGAAUGAUUCUUGCGAGAACUUCUGCCCCCAGUCCACUGAUCGCUUCCUUACAGCGAACACCUACCUAGUGAUUACCACCCCCUGCCAGGCUCUUCUUCCCAUACUGUUUGCUGCUUACCCCUCUCCCUACACUGCAGAAUGCUCAGACUGGUCUCCCACAGCGCCCAUGGGUUCUGAUUCAUUCCAGAACUGCCCCCCAGAACAGUGUAGAAAUGGCUCGGCACUCUGCAUUUGUGGACAAAAGACAGGAGUCUUCUCUUGGAAAAAGUUUUAUUAGGCAUCGCUAGAUGGCUCUGCACAAUGUAUCACACGCAUCACGCGGUAAACAGCAUUCCACGGUCAUCAGACAGCAGCGCGUACAGAGACAAUUAGACAGUUUGAUUCCCAUUAGGGUUUUCACCCAAGACCAGUGAGUGUCUUUAUGUUCACCCAUGAGAUCUGAUCUCAUAAUUAAGAGUCCCCUCCCAUUCCAAAACAACUCAUCAAAAAUAAUUAAAAAAGAAAAGCUCAACCACAACCAAAGGCCAUAGGUAUGUUACUGAAACUCCAGAAUUAGACCCCACAGUACCGCAAGGUGUCCACACUUAGAAAGACCUAUCCCUAACAUGUGUGAUCUGAUACUUGGCUUGUUUCCACCACCAGCAACAAGUGAGAUAGUACUUAUUAAAGUACACUGACACAUACCCACUGGAAAUCCUUGAGGUAAAAGAUUUUUAAAAUUUCACUGUUUAAAAAAAAAAAUCUGUUACUUUCAAGGUCCUGUCCAGCAGGACCUAUCUGUUGGCAGGAACAUUCUUUUUUUUUCUGGGUCAAAUAUUUACACAUAUUUGCAUAUACAACUUAUGUCUCUGUCUUUUCUAAGCACACGGUUUAAUCAUUCACCAUACAUUCAUGAGGAAAAGCUGAAUUAUAUACUAUGGUACAUAAAGAUAACAACAAGACCAGCAUUCCACAUAAAGCAAAACCAAAGGCUCAAAUCAAGAAGAGAAAAGUUACACAAAAUGGCUCGGCAUUGAUAAAGCACAGUGCAAGUGAAUUAAACAUGAACCUGCAAAUAAUCUGGUAUAUGGAAAUUUAUUCCUCAUAAAACAUUUCCAAAGGCAAAUUGUAGAGAAUCGGUCAAAUUUCUGUAGCAUCAUAUAAUUACUUUUAUUUUCAAUACUUUCUGAAAAGUAAUUCUGUCUUACAGUGAUCGGUAACCCUGACAAAUAUUCCGAUUCCUGUUUCAAGCGUACUCGGCUCCUGGUAUUUGAUCUUCAUUUUCAUACUUUUUUUUUUUGGUACUGGGGAUCGAACUCGGGACCUUGUGCUUGCGAGGCAGGCAGCGGAACCACUGAGCUACGUCCCCAGCCCUCCAUUUUCAUACUUUAAAUUAAAAAUGAACAAUGAAUUUAAGAAACAUAUAUUGGCUAACCUGCUGUUCUAGAGGUCACACACUAGAUUACGGUAGCAAAUACAGCCUUAUAUACAUCCUAAAUGGAAUACUGUCUCAUUACUACUUCUUAAAUAGAGGGGUCAAAGAACACUCACAAAAAAUAUAUAUAUGGCUCAUUAGAUAAGAAAUAAAGUCAAGUGAAAAAAAUAAGGCACUAAUAACAUAUAAAUGUUAUAUACUCAUCACACAAAGCACCAUAUGGAAGGUUAAGGGAUAUACAUUAGUACUACUGGAAAAUGAGAAUAAGCCCAGUUUCUCUGGCUUUUAUUCACCAAUUUCUUCCUUUCUUUUCAGUAAUUAGUGUAGAAAUAUUAAAGUGCUGAGCAAAAGUAUAUACUAUGCAGAAUUCAUAGAACCAACAGCAUGAAAUAAUCACUGGGAAAUAAGUUGAUUAUUCCAACGAUGUAAGAAAUUAGGCCUUUUAAAUACUCCUUAUUUUCCAACAUUUUCAUCUCAGGUUAAUUUGUUUUAUCCUUUCCAAAUUCUUUUCAGAGAUUUUUACAUAGUAACAUUGUCAACUUUCUCACUUUAUUCUCACCUGCUUCUUCCCUAAAAUACAUUCAAAAUGGUUCCUGCCAAAGUUUUAUAAAUAUCAAAGUGAAUAAUAUUAUUAAUGAAGAGUUAAAGAUAAAAAUUAAAGAAAUCUCUUCAACCAGGCUCAUUUUAAACAUGAUAAUAUUAUGCAUUGGAAAAUGGCUAUGAAUUUUACAUGAAACUUUAUGCAAUAUAAUGACAUGGACAAGAUCUGUGACAGAGUACUAAUGAAAGUUACUCAUUCUUUUUUUUGGUACCGGGGAUCAAACUUGGGUCCUUGCAUUUGCAGAACAGGCAGCGGAACCACUGAGCUAAAUCCCCGGCCCGAAAGUUACUCAUCUUAAAAUUAAGAAACUUCUUUUCAUUUGAUACUGUUAGUGAAAAUAUGUCAAAUGAAAUAUAUUCUAAUAUUUAAAUAGAUGACAAUUAGUCCUUAGAACUUCAAUUUCUGAAUAUAUAAUAACAGACUAAAGACCCAAGUUUUUUAGCAUCUUUUUUGAAAAGGAAAAUGUGAAUAACUGUCCUGGAGUUUUGUCAUAGAUAUAUUUGUUCCAUGAAAUUGUCUCAUCAAUUUUUUUUUAUAAUAGAACAACUAAUUCUUAGGGCUCCUUAUUAAGUAGUAAGCUAGUAUAAUGUAGUAACAUUGUAAUGCUGCUAUUUUUGUGUUCCCUCCACAGUUAUUUCUGUGAUCUCAUAGAACUUGCUACUUUGUAGGUUAAUGACUGUUUUUGUAAAUGGUAAGAUUGUCAAUUUUUUCAAAUUAAAAAAUCUGUAACCGAUUUUGUCAAGGUAAACGGAUUUCAUAUGAAAUAUCAGGUUAGUCUAUUUUCUUUAUAACACAUACAGAAUUUUAUUUAUGAUGAAAAUGAUUCAACAGUAUGGCCACAUAACAAAAGCUAGCUGUUAGAGGGCAGUCAGGUGGAAAGUCAAAAAGGGCCUUAGGAAAAGGAUGUGUAGUCAGCCAAUAAAAAGAGUGUGAUACUUUAUAUAGAAUUUACUUAUACCCACUGCCUGCCUUGCAAGCACAAGAACUCGAGUUUGAUCCCCAGUACCAAAAAAAAAAAAAAGAAUUUACUUAAUAAAGCAUGCUAAUUUUUAAAAGAUUGAAAAAUUUAGAUAUGUAUAUAAAAUAUAGUUACUAUUUCCUUGAAAGAAACAGUAACAAUAAAUUGGAUAUAGAGGAAGUAAUGUUAAUAAAUAAUCUAUUUUUCAUAAUUUGACUCAAUUACUAGGAAAUUUCCCCAGCUAAGGCUUGGGAUAAACAUGUCACAAAUGUGCAGGGAACAGAUGACUGGCAUCACAAGAAGAUCCUGACAUGACAUUAGUUUAACAAUUUCUAGGGCCUUUUAACAUAUGUGACUCUCUUGAACUUCUCUGUAUUACGUAUUAAUUUACACUAAACCUGUGUUGAGUGUAGGUUAUGUCUAAAUCACAUGAAUGAAAGAGUUGAAUGUUUACAAAUGACAAGAUGGUAGCUCUGAAUAGGGCUGGUAUCAGUCCACUCUGUGAUCUAUUUUAGAUUAUCAAGAAGUCUAAUGUUGCUCAGAGUAGGGACCCAUGCAUGGUUGAAUCCUAUAUGCAAAAGCUGCAUGAUAGAAAUCCACCGAGUCCAAGCUGUAGGAAUUUCCACCUAAACAAAGAGCAGUAAGAUAAGCACACCCAUCUCUGAUGAAGGGUGAGUGACUUCUGGUGAGGCUGGAUGUGCAUCCGCAUGCUUCCUGCCCAGCCAAUUCGCAAACACAGCAUUGAUGGCAAGGUAAGCAUGGAUCAAUUUCCAAAGCCUGGUUCCCCAGUGCUGCUGGGCCCUCUGGGUUCACUUUGUGGCAGAUGGCUAAGCAGAGUCCUUUAA